GGGCGGGGGAGCUCACCUCCGCCGUUCUUGUAGCACAGGUAGGGGAAGAGCCACACGUUGCCCAAGCCCACGGAGAAGCCCACGCACGACAUGAUGAAGUCCAUCUGGCGCGUCCAGUGGCCAGAGGGGAGCCUGCCUGACUGAUGAGCAAGGCUCGACUUUGUCACCAAGGCAGAGAAGGGGCCCGGAUAAAUGACCCCGGCGGCCCCCACCCCUGCCUGGUGUGAGAGUGGGGUCUUCUCUGGCCCAGCCUUUGACUGAAGCUGGUCUGGAGACAGGGGCAUUAGAGAAGUGACUCAUAGAUGGCCUAAAGAAGCGGGGCCACUCAAGGACCCAGGACAGAGGGAAGAGGGCCAACCCAGCUGGACCACAGGCAAACCCCAUGGCCUUUGAGAGAAGAGAGAAGAGGACCCGGUGAAGUAGGCUCGGAGGCCCUCAGCCCAGCAGGAGUGCAGGGCUUUUCCUCCAGGAGCUGCACCAGGAACUCAUAGAGGAUCAGGGAGAAUUCUGAGAACACGCUACUGUGGUGCUGCCUAGAGAGGAGGAUAAAUGAUGACAAGUACAUCUCUGAGUAACAUACGGGCACUUGUUCAUGAAAACUGUUUUUCUGAAAGCUUGUGAAGGUCUUGAAAUACUCGCUAUCUGUUGAGGACAAACAUUUACACCCUCCUUCCACAGGGAGUUCAAGCAGCCUGGAUGGGUCCAUCUAUGGAUGAUCUUCCCCAGCCCCUUCCUCUUCCCAGGUUAUCCCUGGCUCUCUGUGUGAACAGUUCUCAUCAGUGGAAUGUCAUUGAUGAAGUGAGGUCUUCAAUUUUCUCAUCUACUGUGUGGUCAUGUUAUUUUCCUCAUCUGAGGCUUAAAAACUCACCUGCAUGCAGCACAUGACAGCUUAAAAUCUCUUGUGAACAAAACAGUAACAAAGACACCCACCAGGGUUGAGCAUCCCAUGUUGAUGACAGCGACCACCAGGGGUCAACGUCCUCUUCACAAUCCUGUGUCAGAGCAUCACUUGACUGAUUUCAUUAGCAACUUCCCAGGAGAAUCAGCUUAUAAAAUACUUGUCCCAUUUUCCAUGCAGAUGUAACCCAUCUAUUUUACUGAAGAAAUAGGAAGAGCUGAAUGCUGAAUUCACUGAAUGUCUGCAGGUUGUGCAAGUUUGUGACUUUCUGAUUUCUGAUCUGUGUGGACCACUCUACAGAUUUUUCUCACUGGUGUGAUCAGCCUUCUGGAUGUCAAAUAUAAUAGACUUUCAUCAUAUAAAAGUCAACACAAGCUCCUCAUGGUUUCAGUGCUCAGUGACGACUCUAAACUUACACAAUGUGUUUCUUUAUUAGUUUUGUUUUCUGGUAUCUCUACUCGGCAUCUUCACCACACCGAUUUUAUGUUUCUUAUACAGGCUUUGUGCUAUGAAAUGCUAUCUCAUGAAUAUGCAAAUAACCCGAGAUCCACUGAGGUAAAUUUGGAUGUCUGUGCCCUGAGAGCAUCACCCAACAACCACAUCCCUCUUCUAUAGAAGCCCCUGAGAACACAGCUCCUCACCAUGGACUGUACCUGGGGGAUCCUCUUCUUGGUGGCAGCUGCCACAGGUGUCCAUUCCCAGGUUCAGCUGUUGCAGCCUAUGGCUGAGGUGAAGAAGCCUGGGUCCUCAGUGAAGGUCUCCCGCCAGGCUUCCAGAUACACCUUCACCAAAUACUUUACACAGUGGGUGCGACAAGGCCCUGGACAAGGGCAUAGUGGAUGGGAUGCAUCAACCCUCACAAUGAUAACACACACUAUGCACAGACGUUCCGGGGCAGAGUCACCAUUACCAGUGACAGGUCCAUGAGCACAGCCUACAUGGAGCUGAGCAGCCUGAGAUCUGAAGACAUGGUCGUGUAUUACUGUGUGAGAGACACAGUGCAAAAACCCACAUCCUGAGAGUGUCAGAAACCCCAGGAAGGAGACACCUGUGCUGACACAGAGGAGAUGACAAAGAUUAUUAGAUUAAAGAUUUGCUUAGAAAAUGACAUUAAGUCAUUAAAGAAAAGGAACAAUAUUAAUGUGUAUUUGAGAAAUUUUAAUUAUUUGAGAGAUUUUCCUACAACAUUUAUUCUGUAAACAAAUUUCAAUGAUUAAAGAAUGAAUCAAAUUAAUGAAACUAAUAUAGAACUUCCUCUGAAGGUAUCUCUGUAAACAUUAAUU